GGAGACGUAUCGAAGUGGUCGUAACGAGAAUGACUCGAAAUCAUUUUGACCGCAAGGUCACGUGGGUUCGAAUCCCACCGUCUCCGCCA
rnacentral:tRNA from 1 species